CCUUCAUCAGGAUCAUAAGGAGAUAUUUCUUGAACUCUAACUAUGCAGAAGGAAAGUUUCGUGAGAGGGGAGAUGAUAAGUCUGUACUAUGCCAGACAUUUCCCACUCUCACACUUGUCUACUUAGUUUCCAACAACUGAACUUACAGAAGUUUCUGCCCCAGGGCUUCUAUACAACACAAAAGAAUCUAGACCUCCUAUGCUUCAGCGGUAAUAAUAAUGGUAAUUACUGCUUGAAUAUCUGUGCCAUAGAGAUUCUCCUCUGCUACCCAUACAGUGAAGAACAGAGUUAGUAUGUGUUUUUCUUCAUGGAAUACUUUCAUCAAUUCUGAAGCCAAGAUUGACUUCCCUGUGCCAUUUAUACACGCUACCAUAUACCACUGGUAUUAAAGGAUCACAAAUUAUACACGCUACCAUAUACCACUGUGUUAAAGGAUCACAAAUUUAUUCAGGUGUUUGCUGAUACACAUCACACAUCUUCUGUGCCCCACAAAAAAUGAAUUCCCUAAAGAUAUCUUGACAUUUAUCACGAUCAGGGUCUAAGCUCUUGUCACAGGACACAGGAAUAAGUGAGGCAGAUUGGAAGGAGGAUAAAAU
rnacentral:lncRNA from 1 species